rnacentral:tRNA from 1 species
UAAAAAAUAAGCUAAAAAAGCUUUUAGGUUCAUACCCUAACUAUAAAGAUUAUGUCUUUUUUUUUAA